CCUUACGGAGCCAGCAGUAGGGAAUCUUCCGCAAUGGGCGAAAGUCUGACGGAGCAACGCCGCGUGAGCGAAGAAGUUCUUCGAUUGUAAAGCUCUGUUGUUAGGGAAGAACAAGUACCGUUCGAAGAGGGCGGUACCGUGACGGUACCUAACGAGAAAGCCACGGCUAACUACGUGCCAGCAGCCGCGGUAAUACGUAGGUGGCAAGCGUUGUCCGGAAUUAUUGGGCGUAAAGCGCGCGCAGGCGGUUCCUUAAGUCUGAUGUGAAAGCCCACGGCUCAACCGUGGAGGGUCAUUGGAAACUGGGGGACUUGAGUGCAGAAGAGGAGAGCGGAAUUCCACGUGUAGCGGUGAAAUGCGUAGAGAUGUGGAGGAACACCAGUGGCGAAGGCGGCUCUCUGGUCUGUAACUGACGCUGAGGCGCGAAAGCGUGGGGAGCAAACAGGAUUAGAUACCCUGGUAGUCCACGCCGUAAACGAUGAGUGCUAAGUGUUAGAGGGUAUCCACCCUCUAGUGCUGUAGCUAACGCAUUAAGCACUCCGCCUGGGGAGUACGCUCGCAAGGUUAAAACUCAAAGGAAUUGACGG
rnacentral:rRNA from 1 species